AAAAAAAGAAAGAAAAAAAAAACAACUCCCCAACUGUCCUAACUUCACUCUUUAUUGUUCUAUCACUCUUUAUUGUUCUACCAAACCAUCCACCACUUUCUAUAUCAAGUGACAUCCUUUUUAUCAUUUCAAUAAAUAUCUUACACUGUAAUUGGGAAGUAAUAUUACCCUAUCCUUUCACUAGCUAUGAGUUUCGUUGGCCAGAUAGGCCAGCAAUCUACCUAGAUCUUUCGACUCAUGGCGCUUGGGCUACUACGCUAUAAAGAGUUGGAGUUACACUUCUGCUAACAGUUUAAGCUUUUGGCACAGUAGUAAGCACUCGAUCCUAUAAUUGGUAUCAGAGCCAAAGUCAUGGGUUCAAAUCCUAAGGGAUUGUUGGCUCGGUGAGCCAGCAUCCUGCCUAAAUCCCUUCGACCUAUGGUGCUGGGGGGUUGUUGGCUCAGUGAGCCAGCAUCCUGCUUACAUUCCUUCUACCUAUGGCGCUUGGCCUAUUAUGCUAUAAGAAGUUAGAGUUGCGCCUUCGCUAACAGUUUAAACUUUUGAUACGGUGUUAUGCACUUGAUCCUAAAAGUUUAAAAGCUAUUCUAACUAGGUAUAAAAUUUUUUUUUUCCCUGGAGUAAUAUUCUACUCAAUACAAUUUAUAAACAACAUCAACCUUACAGUUAUUAUGCGAUACUAGUUAGGAACUAGCAUGUAAGUGAUAAAACCAGGAUACAACUAGAGUUUCAAAGCCAGAAUUAUUGCAUUCAUUACAGAGAUUCUUUCCUCCAUUUGUCUCUAAUUAGAGCAAAAUUUUUCUAAAGCAAUAAUAAAUCUUUUGUUGCCAUUUCAAUCUAUGCUGGCUUUAGUUGUUCUCUCUUAAACUUUGGACAAACUUCCCUUUCUGCACCAAUGUACUCUUAGGUCUAUAUUGCACAUCCAACAUACUCUCCCUCCUAUGGUCAAUGGUGCCACCUUUAUCAUCCUAUCAAUGCACUUUUUUAUGAUUUGAUUCAUUUUUUUGUUUCCACACAUUCAUCUUACCAUUUUCAAUUAAGUUUUGCUCAUUUAUUUACAUGUUUUUAGCACUUAUUUUCAUAAAGCCUGAUGUGGAAUUUAAGAUCACAAACUGCGACAGGCCCUUCUCCAUUUCAGCUAUAGCUAUCAUGCUUUAAGUUUGAGGGUAAUAUGUUAUAGCAUUUAUAUUUUCUUUGAGUUUUGUUUAAAACAAAACCUUGGGACUCCACAAUAAUCCUAACUCCAACUUUUGAGUUUACAUCAAAUUAUUUUGUUGACUAUAAACGAAAAUGGAUUUCCUCUCAAACUAUUACCAUAGAACUGAUCCCAAUAUUCAUACAACUUCCCUAGAUCGAUAACGCUAAGUCAUCUUUUAUUUCUUUUGACUCUUUUCAUUAACCUCAUCAAGAGAAAAUAACUUCCACAGUUCAUCUCCAUAAUAUAAAACCACAUGGAUAUCCUAAUGUAGUUUUGUCACACUUUAAUGGUGUUAACAACUCUUUCCCAAAAAUGGAAUACAUAAAAAGUUAA
rnacentral:misc_RNA from 1 species